rnacentral:rRNA from 1 species
ACAAGCGGUGGAGUAUGUGGUUAAUUCGACGCAACGCGCAGAGCCUUACCUAGACUUGACAUCCCGGGGAUUUUCUGGAAACAGAGAAGUGCUUAGCAAUAAAGAACCCGGUGACAGGUGCUGCAUGGCUGUCGUCAGCUCGUGUCGUGAGAUGUUGGGUUAAGUCCCGCAACGAGCGCAACCCUCGCCUUUAGUUGCCAGCAUUCAGUUGGGCACUCUAGAGGGACUGCCGGUGUCAAACCGGAGGAAGGUGGGGAUGACGUCAAGUCCUCAUGGCCUUUAUGUCUAGGGCUACACACGUACUACAAUGGCCGGUACAAAGGGCAGCCACUCAGCGAUGAGGCGCUAAUCCCAUAAAGCCGGUCUCAGUCCGGAUCGCAGUCUGCAACUCGACUGCGUGAAGUUGGAAUCGCUAGUAAUCGUAGAUCAGCAUGCUACGGUGAAUACGUUCCCGGGCCUU